GGGGAGAGGUUAGCGCAAGCGAAGCUUUGAACUUAAGCCCCAGUAAACGGCGGCCGUAACUAUAACGGUCCUAAGGUAGCGAAAUUCCUUGUCGGGUAAGUUCCGACCCGCACGAAAGGCGUAAUGAUUUGGGCACUGUCUCGACAAUGCACCCGGUGAAAUUGAAGUACCAGUGAAGAUGCUGGUUACCUGCGCCAGGACGGAAAGACCCCAUGGAGCUUUACUCCAGCUUGAUACUGGGACUCGGUAUUGUAUGUACAGGAUAGGUGGGAGGCUGAGAAGAGAUGACGCCAGUCGUCUUGGAGCCGCUGUUGGGAUACCACCCUUGCAGUGCUGGGUUUCUAACCUGCACCCGUGAACCGGGUGGGGGACAAUGUCAGGUGGGGAGUUUGACUGGGGCGGUCGCCUCCGAAAGGGUAUCGGAGGCGCUCAAAGGUUCCCUCAGAAUGGUCGGAAACCAUUCGAAGAGUGCAAAGGCAGAAGGGAGCUUGACUGCGACACCGACGGGUGGAGCAGGUACGAAAGUAGGACUUAGUGAUCCGGUGGUAUAAAGUGGGAUUGCCAUCGCUCAACGGAUAAAAGCUACCCUGGGGAUAACAGGCUUAUCACUCCCAAGAGUUCACAUCGACGGAGUGGUUUGGCACCUCGAUGUCGGCUCAUCGCAUCCUGGGGCUGAAGUAGGUCCCAAGGGUUGGGCUGUUCGCCCAUUAAAGCGGUACGCGAGCUGGGUUCAGAACGUCGUGAGACAGUUCGGUCCCUAUCCGGCGUGGGCGUAGGAUAUUUGAGAGGAGCUGUCCUUAGUACGAGAGGACCGGGAUGGACUGGCCGCUGGUGUAUCUGUUGACUUACCAAGGUCAUGGCAGAGUAGCCAAGCCGGGAAGGGAUAAACGCUGAAGGCAUCUAAGCGUGAAGCCCCCCUCAAGAUGAGAUAUCCCUACGUAAAGUAGUAAGACCCCUUGAAGACGACGAGGUAGAUAGGGCAGAGGUGGAAGUGUGGUAACACAUGGAGCUGACUGUUACUAAUCGGUCGAGGGCAUAACCAU
rnacentral:ncRNA from 1 species